rnacentral:rRNA from 1 species
CGGACACACUAAAUUUUAGCUUUAUUACCUUUAAUAAUAUAAUUUAGCUUUUAGGUGAAGAGACCUAAAUAGAGUAGAAAGACAAGAAGACCCUAUUGAGUUUUAUCUUAAAAUAAUAUUAUAGAUUUUGUUGGGGCGACAAGGGAAUUUAUUUAACUUCCCUAAAAAUAAAGGAAUUCCAAUAAAUUGAUCCUCAAAGAACUUAGAAUAAACUACCAUAGGGAUAACAGGCUAAUUUUUUCAGAGAGUCCAUAUCAAUGAAAAAGUUUGGCACCUCGAUGUUGGCUUGAAGAAUCUUUUAGGUGCAACAGCCUA